rnacentral:lncRNA from 1 species
UAAAAUCAACAUAAAUUUUCACUGCCAAGCCUCAAUAGUCUACUUGCGGAGAAGAAUUCAUUAUUUGUGUUAUAAAAUUAAAGUAAGUCUUUCAAGAUUUUUUACAUGAGUAAUUUGAUUGGCUUACAAACUUACAAUUUUUUUUUUUGUAAAAUUAAAAUAAAUCUUUGAAGAUUUCUUAACUUAAAUAAAUUAUAAAUUUGAAUUAAAAUAUGUAUGAAUAUAAUUACAGUAAUUAAUUUGAAUGAGAAUAUAAAAUUUUAUGAAUUAAAAUAUUCAAAUCAUAAAAAAAAACAUAAUUACCUUAAUCAACAUAAUUAUGUAUUUAUAAAUUAAUAGAUGGAUAAAAAAAUCAUUUGCAUUUUUUCCUAAAAUCUUCUUAUAUAUAAUUGAUUAAGAAAACAAGUUAUUGCAGGCUGGUGUGAAUAUGGCAGGAAGUGACGAAGGCAUGCAAGACUUGGAGAACAACGUUAGUAGCACUAUUACUACUCAUUCUACAUCAAAUGAAAGCACUACUACUAAUCAAGAAAAAGGAAAAGAGAUUGACACUACAACUGCUAAUCCAGAAAACAACAUUGGAGUAUUUUCAGGUGUGAUUGAUACGGAAGAAGUUAGAGGAAUGAUGGUGUCUGAUCCAUUUAUUAAACAAACUGUUGAGUCCUUUUUGAAAUAUUCAGAGCCAGAGAACAAAGAAGACAGUCAAAAUGAUGCCAACCAAGGAUCAACAAUUGCACCUGCUAAGCAUACCAAAACACCAUAAGGAAAGAAGAUGUAGUCACAACUUCCUGAAAAUUUAAUUCAUAGUCUUGGAUUAGGAGUUUUUUUUCUCUCUCUAGUGUUUUUAAUAUAAAUAGUCCAUUAGCAUGUAUACUUAGUGAGGUCCAUCAACAUGUGUUCUAGUUAUAAAUAUAGUAAUGUUUUUAUUUAUUUAUUUUUAGGUUAAUAGGAAAGAUAUAUGAGGAAGACACAGGUAAGUUUGUUGUAUUUGGUUAAAAUAUGUGUAUGG